UCAUACCAGAAAGCUCUGGGACCCCUACUGGAUCUUUGCAGAGGCUUACAGCAAGCAGCGUGGUUAUACAACUCACUUUGCAUGUAAGCGUGACUCGGCAGAAAGUUUAAAGCGAUAGCGCAGCAAGCGCCGGACUCACAAUGCAAAGGAAACUAUGUGGACUGCCUAAGAUUUGACUGUUACAAGCUGUACCUUUUCUUGUGAAAGAAAAUGGAUAUUUCACUGUCUCUCUCUGGAAUGUUUCCAGGGACUAUACUCUUGGGGAGAGUGAGUGAAAUUGAGACCAUAAACUAUCACAUUGGAGGGGGCCUGGAAGUUUUUUGUUUUAGUGCAAAGGUAUAGGUCUAACGUCUUGAUCCUUGGCUCUACGAUGGAGUUGACAGUGAGAUGGGGAGUAUAAACCAAUUUGAAAGAAUAGUUUCAAUAGAAUAUUUUGAUAUUCUCUGUGAAAUAUGUUUAGAUAUGUGUAUUAAGAAUAAUUGAUAAAAGUAAUCAUUUAUCAUGUAGUUAAUGAACUGAGCUAAACUGUUGUUCUGAUCUGUUCUUUCGAGGUUAUCAUGAAAAGUGACAUCAGACGGUAUCUUAAUACAUGGAAGAGAUAAUUGGACCGAAUGGUGUGUGUACCUCAAAACCCCCUCUAACUGGCUGAAGAAGAGUGACAAAGGCGCUGAAGGAGGCUUUCCAAACCACUUCUACCGAGAGAAAAGAACCAAGCCAGAAAUUGGUGUACAGUAUCAGAUCUAAGCUUUCAACUGCUUUUCUUUCAUGAGUCCACUUGGAGUGAUCAUGGAGAGAGAUCUGUUCUAACAUUUUCUUAUGAUGCUGGUAUAUUGGUUGACGACUGGACAUGAGUGGUAAAGAUGAGACAUUGAAAUUGGGACAUUAUCAUGGGCCGUCCACUUUGAACUGUAAAGCUAUCUGAAGAAAAAUGAAAGAGACGCCAGACGAUGCAGUGCCUGGGGGGGUUGGUCAACUGUGCCAUUAAAUUGUUUAUACUUUUUUCAGGUUGAUUGAAGAGGUCUACACCAUGUAAAUUGUGGCAAUUUAGAUUAAGAAUGCAGAUACUGAUACUGAUCUGUAUUAUAAUCAUGAUUAAAAAAGUUAAUAGUAGAAUUAUGGGAUAAUUAUACUGUAUGUAAGUAAAUCUGCUAAUAUUGAUGUGUAUUAAAUUGAGGUUUUUACUUUGAGUGAUAAGACAAAUUUGAAUCACGGAGGAAUGCUAUUCUAAAUAUUGGUUGGAUAAAUAGUUGGGUUGUUACUUAUGAUUUGGAAUAUGAAUGAUUUCAUUGCCCUAUUCCCUAUUCCUGAGUAUAUUUCUGAGCAUGAGGACUUAGAGGAAUGUCUGUCCUAUAUGUUGUGAGGAGGCCUGUGUUUAGACACUGGUUCUCAUGUAACUUAAAGAGCAUUUAUAUGUUAUGUUUUUAUUUUCCUCAAAUAGAUUAUUCUGUGUUAUUAAACAUGUGCAAAUUUGUCUUGUAGAAUAAAGGUUGUAAACAUAGUUUCAGAAGGGAGAAAGCUUACAUAUAAACUAAGGUAUUUGACAUUGAGGGGAUUUGAAUUUUUAUAUUGAGUAUGUAAUUAAUAAUCUGAUUCUUUAGAAGGGACAAUGUCCCUUGAGAGUGGAAUGUUGGGGAAUAAUCAGAAUUAGUUGGUAACAUAGGAAAGAUGUUUUAUAUUCAUCAUAUGUUUGUAAGUUACUUCUCAUCAGAAUGUUGUUUUUGUAUAAUACUGUGGUGGGGUUGCAGUAUCUGUUCUGUCAAGACUAAGUUGCUUGGCCCGGAGAGAGUUCAAGCGUGUAUCUCUUGGCUCCACAAUGUCUGUGUGCCAGCCAGUGUGUCUCUGUGAUCUUGUCAAGAUAGGAUGGAUUUGAUAUAUGCCUGUUGAUAUGGAGGAUUGGUUUAUGGUUCUGAGUUUGAGAAAGGAGACAAAGCUGAACAAUGAAUUAUGCCGAUGCUGUCUUAUCCUGUGUGUGUCUUUGCUAUAAAGGAUCUCAGUUGAGAUGUGGAAGGGACUCUCAGAGAAUUCAUUGAUAGACACUGAAUUGAUCUGAGAGUCACAGGGUUGUGAUAGAGCUCAUAUAAUUAAAGAUGGACUUUGAUAACUAACUCUGACUUGUGUGUGGUUUGCUCUCAU